AGAUGUGUGGGUGAUCUAGCUGUUACAUCUGUCACUCCAUUAAAUCAUCGGGGUUGAUCUGUCUGAUCUCGCUGGAUAGGUGGUGUCCCCUUCCUCCCUCACCAUUCCACAUGCAUCCCUCCUGAAGCUGUGCAUUUGGUAGAAGAGGACAACCAAUGGAGGAGGACAGUUUCCUAGAUCAGGGGUAUAGGAGUAGCUGUGGUCCCCUACUAGAACCUCCAUGAUCUGGGCAUGGUGGUGCACGCCUAUAAUCCAGCACUUGAGAGAUGGAGGCAGGAGGAUUGCCAUAAGUGU
rnacentral:snRNA from 1 species